rnacentral:lncRNA from 1 species
AUCAGACUCCAAGGAGAGGCCAACAGAUGAGGGAGCCAUUUUUCUGCAAUGGAAUUAAAUGGCCAAGUGGGUUUUUCCUUUGUUGCAAAUGGGGAAUGCUUUUCCUUUGACUCCACCAUCCAGUUCAGGACGCCUGAAUGUGUUUAACAUUUGCCAAAGGACUCACACUUGGAAGAAUGAAGACCUUUUAAAAAGAUCUGGAUUUUUCCUUAUGACUUGGAAUCCAUCUUUGUCUUGUAUAACUAGGUCAUAGCACACUAUUAAUGUCAGCAGUUAACAGUUUUGAAUUCAAAAAAACCUAAAGCACUAAACAGCCCUCAGCGAAGCCGCCUUUUUGCCAGCCCAACCCUGGAAAGUUUGCAGUCGUGGAAGGAGCAGAAAUACCACGAGUGUAACUUACAAAGAAGGUCUUGGCCGGAGACCGGAGCCAUGUCUGUGUUAUCCCCACUGUAGACAAUCCUUGCUUCCUCUGGACAUCUGGAGCAGGCCCAAUUUGACUGAGAGCCUUCCCCCACUAAGGAAUUCCUGGACAAUGGAGAGUGCCCCAGGCCCCCUGAACAUCUUGCUGAUGAGGGAGUAAAGCCACCCUGGUUACAGAUCCAGCCCCACCAUCACCACCAGAGUUGAGUCCAAAUCCAACACUCUAGGCCGGGUAGUGCUGGGACUUUGCCAGCCUCCUGCUGAGAAGUGAAUUCUCCCCUUGGCAAACUGCAGCCAGCCAGCCUCCUGGGUCGAGAGCCAAGCCAAAAGAUGUCUGAGAGAAGAAACCUGGGGUCCUGCAAAGGUAAGUGGGUCCCAGCCCACUCUCAAUCCCCCUCUCUCUGUGUGAUUGCUAUUCCACACUGGAGUCACCUGCUCUGUGCUUCUGAGGAACCUCACCUCUGGCACAUCAAUGGAAAUUGUCCUUCCCUUUUUAUUUAUUUUUAUUUAUUUUUUAUUUUUUGCCACCCUCACUGGCCACUAAGAGAUAGCCCUAGCUCCUCCUCUCCUGCCUGGUUUUGACAGGACUCACUCCAUUGAGUCCUGUCUCGUCUCUUUGCAGCCCUCCUCCUCCCCCCCCCCCCCCUUCAGCCAGCACUUAGGCCCUCCCUGAUUUAGCCCGUUACCUUGACAACCACUUGGGCCUGUCUCCCUCAUCACCACUGAAAACCUGAAGGUGGUUUUCCAGCUGCGGUACAUUUGCCCAAGUUGGGCACCCCUCCAGCUUCUAUUGGCUCGCCCUCUAUACAGCUGUACCCAAUAUAACAAACACAACCUUCCUGGCCCCUCAGCUGUAGUCUCGAAAUUGAUCUCACUGGUCCCGGGAACUCCGUCAAUACUGCCUCCUCUAGACUGAGCUCCUCACAGGCAGGAACAUGGUUGUUUCUCAAUAAACAAGUUGCAAAAAAA